UACAGAGGUCUCGAGCGUUAGGCGGAAUCACUGGGCUUAAAGCGUGUGUAGGCGGAUCGUUAAGUGCCUUGUGAAAUCCCACGGCUUAACCGUGGAACUGCUUGGCAUACUGGCGAUCUUGAGCAACCUAGGGGCGAGCGGAACAAAUGGUGGAGCGGUGAAAUGCGUAGAUAUCAUUUGGAACGCCAAUGGGGAAAACAGCUCGCUGGGGGUUUGCUGACGCUGAGACACGAAAGCCAGGGGAGCAAACGGG
rnacentral:rRNA from 1 species